GACGAACGCUGGCGGCGUGCCUAAUACAUGCCAGUCGAACGCACAGUUUAUACCGUAGCUUGCUACACCAUAGACUGUGAGUUGCGAACGGGUGAGUAACGCGUAGGUAACCUGCCUGGUAGCGGGGGAUAACUAUUGGAAACGAUAGCUAAUACCGCAUAAUAUUAAUUAUUGCAUGAUAAUUAAUUGAAAGGUGCAAUUGCACCACUACCAGAUGGACCUGCGUUGUAUUAGCUAGUAGGUGAGGUAACGGCUCACCUAGGCGACGCGACAUAGCCGACCUGAGAGGGUGAGCGGCCACACUGGGACUGAGACACGGCCCAGACUCCUACGGGAGGCAGCAGUAGGGAAUCUUCGGCAAUGGACGAAAGUCUGACCGAGCAACGCCGCGUGAGUGAAGAAGGUUUUCGGACCGUAAAGCUCUGUUGUAAGAGAAGAACGGGGGUGAGAGUGGAAAGUUCACACUGUGACGGUAUCUUACCAGAAAGGGACGGCUAACUACGUG
rnacentral:rRNA from 1 species